UGUUUGACACAUAUUGAAAGCUUAAGCAUCUGGGAUUGGAAGGAUGAGAGAAAUGAAUCAAAUAUACAGGAAGCCCGCUCGUUAGCAUCUGACAGCUGGGCAUUAGAUCAUGUUGAUUAUUUUAUUGAUUGUCAUUACCCAGGAGAAGGUGAAAGUCUGUGGGCGAUUGGGGGAACUAAUGGUGGUGCUUUAGGCUAUUUUCCUGUAAAUUAUAGAGAGGGAACAAUAGGAUCUCCGGAAGCAAUUCUCGGAGGUGGACAUACGGGCGUUGUCAGGAGUGUAUUGCCAAUGUCAAGCAUGAAUGGUGGACCAGCCCAAAGCCGAGGCAUUUUUGGAUGGACAGGUGGUGAAGAUGACNNNNNNNNNGUCUAAUAAUUCUAUAGAGGUAAACCGUGCCUGGAUUUCAGAAGCACUGGUUAUGAGAUCCUCGAAGUCCCGCAAGAAAAAUAGGCGUCACCCUUACUAACAAAAUGUGUGUAUUUAUUACUAUGUUUUGGCAAUUUAUAUUUUCUACAA
rnacentral:misc_RNA from 1 species